rnacentral:rRNA from 1 species
GAUGAACGCUGACAGAAUGCUUAACACAUGCAAGUCGACUCGAGUCUUCGGACUUGGGUGGCGCACGGGUGAGUAACGCGUAAAGAACUUGCCUCUUAGACCGGGACAACAUCUGGAAACGGAUGCUAAUACCGGAUAUUAUGGUUUGGCGGUGAUGGAUGGGGAUGCGUCUGAUUAGGUAGUUGGUAAGGUAACGGCUUACCAAGCCUUCGAUCAGUAGGGGUUCUGAGAGGAAGGUCCCCCACAUUGGAACUGAGACACGGUCCAA